UAAGGAAUAUUGGACAAUGGGCGAAAGCCUGAUCCAGCCAUGCCGCGUGAGUGAUGAAGGCCUUCGGGUUGUAAAGCUCUUUUGUCCGGGACGAUGAUGACGGUACCGGAAGAAUAAGCCCCGGCUAACUUCGUGCCAGCAGCCGCGGUAAUACGAAGGGGGCAAGCGUUGUUCGGAAUCACUGGGCGUAAAGCGUGCGUAGGCGGCAUUACAAGUCGGAAGUGAAAUCCCUGGGCUCAACCCAGGAACUGCUUUCGAAACUGUUUUGCUUGAAUCCGGGAGAGGUUGGCGGAAUUCCAAGUGUAGAGGUGAAAUUCGCAGAUAUUUGGAGGAACACCAGUGGCGUAAGCGGCCAACUGGACCGGUAUUGACGCUGAGGCACGAAAGCGUGGGGAUCAAA
rnacentral:rRNA from 1 species